AGCCGCACACGCGUCCGGCCUCUACGGGUAUCCACACGAGGCAGAGAACCAAUCCAAACUCUCUAAUCUCCCCGGGGUGCUAGCUCCCUUGCAGAGAUAUAUUUUGAUGGCUGAAAUCCUCUCUUGAUUUAUCAACUCUUUGAUAGAUCUCAAGAGGAAGAAGAAGGACUUGAAAGGGAGGAAGAAGAUCCCAUCUUGCUGCCUCCUUUUCUUUUAUUCUUGUGGAUGGAAGAAGGGUGAAGAGAGAAAGCCAUACACCACCCUAUUUUUCUUUGAUGCUCAUGGCUGAAACCCCAAUAGGAAGGAGGCUUGCCCAUGGCACAAAAACCAAGAGGGGAGGAGGCACUCUCACGGCACAAAAGAAAAGGAGAGAGGGGAGGAGCUCUCAUGGCACAAAAAA
rnacentral:lncRNA from 1 species